UCUAGUUUCCUUGGGAAGAGCAGACAUCCUUGGGACUGCAGGAGAUACCACAGGAGGAUGGAGAAUGUACCACCAGGAGCCAGAAUUACAGUGGCACCUCUGUUCAUGAGCUUAAUUCAUCCCACAAUCCUGGGGAAGACAGCCACAGUCAUGUUCACCAUUUGAUAAGGAGUUUGUGAAUGGAAACAAAAUUUUGCCCAGAGCUUCUGUUUGCCAACUGAAUUGUUCACAAACAGAAGCAUCUGUGAGCCGAGACAGGGUCUUACUAUGUAGCCCAGGCUGAUCUUGAACUCCCUGUGAUUCUCCUACUUUAGCUUCCUGAUUGCUGGGAUUACAGGCGUGUGCCACCUCACCUGAGACUUGUGAGAGGGCAGCUGAACCCAGAAGACCCCUGCUGCCUGUUGUUGAGUGGGAACUAUCCCUGGUGAGUGCCACUUUGGGCACCAAUGCCCGUGAGGAGUGCCAGCUCCAUCUCUGGUCUCUAGAAACUCAUCAGCACAGAUUGGAAAAGUGUUACAUGGCUGGAUAGAGUUGCAGGGGGACCAUCCAAACAGGCUUAUGAAACAAGAGUCAUUAACAAGAAAAGUCACCCAGAGUAUUCUUUGUCAAGAACUGGGUGGUACAGAACUGGCCCUGAAAAUGUUAAGAUCAAUUGACUGAGUGGGUCUCUCCUGGAAGACAGUGAGACCCCAUUACCCUAUCAGGGAUGGAGCAGGGGCCCUGGGGCAUGCUAACCUGCAAAUGUUUGAAACAUUUAAAGGAAGAGAGGAAGCAAGAGUGAAUUGGCCCCCCAGAAAUGUUAGUGCAAAGACUGGCAAACUACAGUUCACAGGGCACA